UACGUAGGGCGCAAGCGUUGUCCGGAAUUAUUGGGCGUAAAGAGCUCGUAGGCGGCUUGUCACGUCGGGUGUGAAAGCCCCGGGGCUUAACCCCGGGUCUGCAUUCGAUACGGGCUAGCUAGAGUGUGGUAGGGGAGAUCGAAUUCCUGGUGUAGCGGUGAAAUGCGCAGAUAUCAGGAGGAACACCGGUGGCGAAGGCGGAUCUCUGGGCCAUUACUGACGCUGAGGAGCGAAAGCCAGGGGAGCAAACGGG
rnacentral:rRNA from 1 species